GCGGGGGGGGCUGGAGUCCAGAGAGAAAGACCCAAACUGUAGAGUACGCAGUACUCAGGAAGUACUGCGUACUCUGAAUACUGAGUUUGCAGUAUACGCAGUACUCAGGAAAGUACUGCGUACACUGGAUACUGAGUAUGGAUAUAUGAAGUACUCAGUAAAGUACUGCGUACUCUGCAUACUGAGUAUGCAGUAUAUGCAUAAUCAGUUUGCAGUAUACACAGUACUUUCCUGAGUACUGCGUAUACUGCAUACUGAGUAUGCAGUGUACGCAGUACUCAGCAUGCAGUAUACGCAGUACACGCAGUACUCAGUGAAGUGGAGGGCUGGUCUCACCGUGGACUAGGAGGAGGACCUCGGGACUGAAGACCACGCUCUGCAGACCCCGAGCACCGCCCGUCAGCAGCCUGCAGGACACGAGAGGGGCUCACACCGUACUCACAUGGUAUUGACAUGGUACUUGGGUAGUAACAUUGUACUAACAUGGUACUACGGCACUAACAUAGUACUAACGUGGUACUACAGUACUAACAUUGGUAUUAACAUGAUACUAACAUGGUACUAUGGGGCUAACAUUGGUCCUAAUAUGGUACUUACAUGGUACUACGGUACUUACAUGCACUAAGGUGCUAACAUGGUACUAACAUUGGUACUACAGAACUAACAUUGGUACUGACAUGAUACAAACAUGGUACUAUGGUACUAACAUGGUACUAUGGUACUAAUAUGGUAUUAACAUUGGUACUAUAGUACUAACAUUGGUACUUACAUGGUACUAUGGUACUAACAUGGUACUACAGUACUAAAAACUUACUAUGGUACUAACAUUGAAGUAACAUGGUACUACAGUACUAACAUGAUACUAUGGUACUAACACGGUACUAACAUGGUAACAGGGUACUAACAUGCUACUAACAUUCUACUACCAUGGUACCAACAUGGUACUAACAUGGCACUACAGUAAUCACAUGGUACUAACAUGGUACAUACAUGGUACUAUGGUACGUACAUGAUAUUUACAUGGUACUACUGUGGUGAGUACCAUGUAUUAACAUGGCACUCAUAUGUUAUUUACAGCUGGAACUAACAUGGAACUCAGAUGGUAUUGACAUUGAACUAUGAUAUUAACAUGGUACUAUGUUACAGGAUACUCACAUUGUAUUAACGUGGUACUCACUUGGUUCUCAAGUGUUAUUGACAGGGGUACUACGGAACUAACAUGGUACUCACAUUGUAUUAACAAGUUACUAUAGUAUUAAAUGGUACUCACCUUGUAUUAACAUGGUACUACAUGAAAUAUGGUACAUACUAGUAUGUACUAGUGGUACAUACUAGUACCAUAUACAUACUAGCACAUACUAGUAUGUAUAUGGUACAUACUUGAAUGUAUAUGGUACAUACUAAAAGUAAUGCUUCCAUUGUGGACAGGAAGAGGAAAUGACUCUAGAUGGGGAAACAUGUUGUUGUCUCACCCCAGCAGGAAGAAGGUUAAACUCUGGGCCUUCAUGUUUCUCCGGGGCCUUGGUCGGGCCUGGUCACACCAAUGGUCCCAAGUAAUCUAUAGGAACACAAUCUAUAGAUCCUAUAGAAGCAGUCUAUAGAUCCUAUAGAAGCACAGUCUAUAGAUCCUAUAGAAACACAGUCAUAGAUCCUAUAGAAACACAGUCUAUAGAUCCUAUAGAAGCAGUCUAUAGAUCCUAUAGAAACAGUCUAUAGAUCCUAUAGAAGCAGUCUAUAGAUCCUAUAGAAGCACAGUCUAUAGAUCCUAUAGAAACACAGUCAUAGAUCCUAUAGAAACACAGUCUAUAGAUCCUAUAGAAGCACAGUCUAUAGAUCCUAUAGAAACACAGUCAUAGAUCCUAUAGAAACACAGUCUAUAGAUUCUAUAGAAGCAGUCUAUAGAUCCUAUAGAAACAGUCUAUAGAUCCUAUAGAAACAGUCUAUAGAUCCUAUAGAAGCAGUCUAUAGAUCCUAUAGAAGCAGUCUAUAGAUCCUAUAGAAACAGUCUAUAGAUCCUAUAGAAAACAUCUGUAGAUCCUAUAGAAACAGUCUAUAGAUCCUAUAGAAACAGUCUAUAGAUCCUAUAGAAACACAGUCUAUAGAUCCUAUAGAAACAGUCUAUAGAUCCUAUAGAAACAAUCGAUAGAUCCUAUAGAAACAGUCUAUACAUCCUAUCAAAACACAGCAUGCUAUAUGUUGACAGUCUAUGUAUAACAUACAGGAAAAUGUUUUCGGAAAGGGAGGGGAGUUAUAAGUUAAACUUCAAGGUCUGCCGCAGACUCACAACCAAAAACAGCUUUUGUAUCACAUCGAAAGAGUUAAAUUGUGGAAUAAGUUAUGUGCAGAAGUACAGAAAAGCCAAAACAUAAGACAGUGUAAAAAAAUAUAUAAAGAAAUCAUCUUCACAAAGUACAGAAAUUGAGAAGAGCCUGUUGACACAUGCAGACUGUAGUUCUGUAAUAUACAUGGUAUUGGUUGUUGAAUUUUAAUGUUUACAUAGUCAUUUAUAAUAUCCAUAUAUGGUUAUUUAUCAUAUCUAUAUAUAAUUUUAGUUAUUAUUCAUUUUUAUAUAAUUUUUUUGAUAGAACUGUGUACAUGUAAUUAUUAUAGCUUUUUUAUAUUAUAUAUACUAAUCAAUUUUUUUAAUAAUCUACAAUACAAUCUACCAUGUUAAACAUAAUUAAACUAUUCAUAAAAUCUAUUGUAUAUAAUGUAUACUGUUAAACAGUCUAUAGCAUCUUUAUCAUUUAUAAACUCUGAUAUUAAACAGUUUUUAUAAUCUGUAUCCUCUAUAUAUCUAAAAUGUUAUAACAGGCUAUAUAAUGUAUUGCUUUAUAUCGAAAAUAUUGCAUAUAUUUAAAAAAAGAGCAUAUUGAACCCAGUAUAUAACAUUAAUAAUCAAUCAUAUUGAACGCAGUUCAUAUCAUUUAUAAUUGAUAAUAUCAAACACUGUUUUAAUAAUCUAUAAUAUUGAACCAAGUAUAUAACAUUAAUAAUCUAUAAUAUUGAACCCAGUAUAUAACAUUAAUAAUCUAUAACAUUGAACUCAGUAUUUAACAUUUAUUAUCUAUAAUAUUGAACCCAGUAUAUAACAUUUAUUAUCUAUAAUAUUGAACCCAGUAUAUAACAUUUAUAAUCUAUAAUAUUUAAAGCAGCUCUAUGCUUACAUCUGAAGAGGUUUUCCUGUUGAAUGGAAUGCCAGUUUUUCCGCGAUAACACUGACUCCUCCCACCAGAACUACUCCCAGGGAGAGACGACAGAAGCCCAAAUAUGGCUGUGCCGUUGGUGGAUGGAUUCAGACUGUUAGCUGGAUGAAGCAAACAGGACGCAGCCGCUGGCUCGUGGUCGUCACGGUCUUGUGGUCGUCACGGAGAAAGAAUAUUUUCAAGUUUAGACCAGAGAAGAGACGAUAAGUAGAGUGGAUAUCACUAGAUAUACAAUAAAAUGAUAAAUAUUGAAUUAUUGUAUGUCUUCUGUUGUGUAUUAUGUAUAAUAUAUAUGAUAUAUAUUGUAUUAUUGUACAUCUUCUGUAGUGUAUUAUGUAUAAUAUAUAUUGUAUUAUUGUAUAUCUUCUGUAGUGUAUUAUGUAUAAUAUAUAUUGUAUAAUUGUAUAUCUUCUGUAGUGUAUUAUGUAUAAUAUAUAUGAUAUAUAUUGUAUUAUUGUAUAUCUGCUGUAGGGUAUUAUGUAUAAUAUAUAUGACACAUUAACACAGAAUUAGGAGGGUAAUGUUUGUAUUUAGACAGAGUCCAUACAAUGAGAAGGAUGUUAUGAUACAUGUGAAGAUGAUGUCAUGAGGAUAUUAACAUGAUGAUGUCAUGAGGAUGCUAACAUGAUGUCAUGAGGAUGUUAACAUGAUGAUGUCAUGAGGAUGUUAACAUGAUGAUGUCAUGAGGAUGUUAACAUGAUGAUGUCAUGAGGAUGUUAACAUGAUGAUGUCAUGGGGAUGUCAUGAGGAUGUUAACAUGAUGAUGUCAUGAAGAUGUUAACAUGAUGUCAUGAGGAUGUUAACAUGAUGAUGUCAUGAGGAUAUUAACAUGAUGAUGUCAUGAGGAUGUUAACAUGAUGAUGUCAUGAGGAUUUUAACAUGAUGAUGUCAUGAGGAUAUUAACAUGAUGUCAUGAGGAUGUCAUGAGGAUGUUAACAUGAUGAUGUCAUGAGGAUGUUAACAUGAUGAUGUCAUGAGGAUAUUAACAUGAUGAUGUCAUGAGGAUGUUAACAUGAUGAUGUCAUGAGGAUAUUAACAUGAUGAUGUCAUGAGGAUGUUAACAUGAUGAUGUCAUGAGGAUGUUAACAUGAUGAUGUCAUGAGGAUAUUAACAUGAUGAUGUCAUGAGGAUGUUAACAUGAUGAUGUCAUGAGGAUUUUAACAUGAUGUCAUGAGGAUAUUAACAUGAUGAUGUCAUGAGGAUGUCAUGAGGAUGUUAACAUGAUGAUGUCAUGAGGAUGUUAACAUGAUGAUGUCAUGAGGAUGUUAAUAUGAUGAUGUCAUAAGGAUAUUAACAUGAUGAUGUCAUGAGGAUGUUAACAUGAUGAUGUCAUGAGGAUAUUAACAUGAUGAUGUCAUGAGGAUGUUAACAUGAUGAUGUCAUGAGGAUUUUAACAUGAUGAUGUCAUGAGGAUGUUAACAUGAUGAUGUCAUGAGGAUGUUAACAUGAUGAUGUCAUGAGGAUGUUAACAUGAUGAUGUCAUGAGGAUGUUAACAUGAUGAUGUCAUGAGGAUGUUAACAUGAUGAUGUCAUUGGUCAUGUGAUCUUGGUCCGUCGGCUGACGCAGCAGAAGUAGACCCCUGCAUCGCCGGGCUGGGGGCGGAGCAGCAGGAGGUCUCCGGGCUGACGGGGUUCAGGGUGAAGCGGUCCGGACCGAACCCCCGACCGUACACCAGCCGGGGUCGGGGGGUCAUGGUGGGGUUCAGGGUGGGGGUCAGGGUGGAGGUCAGGGUGGGGGUCAGGGUGGAGCUGAGGACCAGCAGCACCCUCUGCUCCUUCCUCUGGUACCAGCUGAGGGUGGAGCUGCGGGUGGAGCUGCGGGUGGAGUUGCGGGAGCCGGCCCACAGCGGACACGGCAAGAGGACCUCUUCUCCACCUUUCACCACCACCACCACCUGCUGCCCCGCCGCCAGACCUGCACCACCCACAGCAGGGCACGGCCCACAGCAACACCGUCGCCGUCCGCGCCAUGAAGAGACAGACCACCUCCCGGUCCACUGGAGACCUGGACCCUCCCGGUCCACUGGAGACCUGGACCCUCCCGGUCCACUGGAGACCUGGACCCUCCCGGUCCACUGGAGACCUGGACCCUCCCGGUCCACUGGAGACCUGGACCCUCCCGGUCCACUGGAGACCUGGACCCUCCCGGUCCACUAGAGACCUGGACCCUGCCGGUCCGGUGGAGACCUGGUCCGGUGGAGACCUGGACCCUGCCGGUCCUGUGGAGACCUGGUCCGGUGGAGACCUGGUCCGGUGGAGACACAACAGCUACUGGGCGGCAGUAGCUCAGGUGGACGGGCGGGUCGGCUGGUAACCUGAAGGUCCCUGGUUUGAUCCCCAGCUCCUCCUAGCCGAGAGUGGAGGUGUCCCUGAGAGAGACGCCGUUGACCUGCUGGCUGUCGCCCUGGGGGGUCGACUCCGCCGCGGGGGGAAUGAACAGAUGCAAGUUGCUUUGGAUAAAAAUUUCAGCAAAAUCCCCUCAAUGUAACAACAGCAGCUGCACUGACAGAUGCUCCUCCUCUCCCUACCAACACUACACUACCCAGAGUGCACCAGUCUCCACUCAGCUCAUCUGGACGGCUCCACCCUCCUUCACGUGGUGACUACUGAGAGUCAUACCAUGUACGACCAUCAGAGGGGUUCACUCGAGGUCCCUGUGUUUAGAUCAUGUUUUACCCACUGGUGUGUGAAGGAUUGUAACGGAGUAACGCUCAGGUGGUUGGGAGCUGCAUUACUCUCUCUCCCUCCCUCCUUCCCUCAACAUCUC
ensembl:lncRNA